UUUUUAUGUGUUUCAAGGUGUGAGGACUUCAGUACUUUACAGACGGAUAUUGACAAGUGGAUGACUACAUCCCUCACAGCUCCUUGCAAAAGAGGUCCUGUCCCAUGCACUGAACGUGAGCAAGCAUGGUUUUGUAAAUGGACAGCCCUGUCUUCUACUAGUCUCAGUGAUACACAAAGACAAGCUCAGUCACAAGCUGCAUCCUACAAACUUACCACACCUGGUGACAAUUCUUGGUGGAAAGUACGAGCCAGCUGCAGUGACGUACCACCUGGGCACCAAAAACCACUUUGUGGCAUUCCACAAACUAGGUACUGAAAAAGGCUGGCAUUUUUUCGAUGCCCUUGAGGAACUUGUCAACCCUGGCAAGGGAGAUGUUGUCAUCAGUGACACAUUUAUGAGGAAGAAACUUCAGGCUAAGUGUAAUGUCAGCCACAUUCUCAGGGUCAGGGACAAAGGAGCAGAACCUGUAGAAACCAGGCGGCAAAAAAAUGAAGAGCUUGUAACCUUCAUUGUGGAUGACAGGUGCAGAUGAAAGGAUAAAGGCCAUUCUUUCCAGUGAUGAGAAGCCUCAAUUUUCUUUUAAAGAUCAGUGGGUCCCAAUCAUCUUAGACGAUGAUAAGCAGCUGGACAGAAUUGUGAGGUACCUGUCAGACCUUCUUGACAGCUGUGACACCCUGUCUUCCAAAGUCAACACCAUGGUGUCCUCGGACAGGAUCAAAUAUAUCCUGAAUGUAAUGCUGUCAGAGGCAACAGUACAGGCUCUUCAAGAGGUGAGAAAAAUGACAGUGACAGAAGCUGUGGGAGCAGUGGAACACGAUGGA